rnacentral:rRNA from 1 species
CAGCAGCCACGGGAACACGUAGGUGGCAAGCGUUGUCCGGAAUUAUUGGGCGUAAAGCGCGCGCAGGCGGAUCAGUCAGUCUGUUUUAAAAGUUCGGGGCUUAACCCCGUGAUGGGAUGGAAACUGCUGAUCUAGAGUAUCGGAGAGGAAAGUGGAAUUCCUAGUGUAGCGGUGAAAUGCGUAGAUAUUAGGAAGAACACCAGUGGCGAAAGCGACUUUCUGGACGAAAACUGACGCUGAGGCACGAAAGCUAGGGGAGCAAAUGGGAUUAGAUACCCCAGUAGUCCCUGUCUCUUAUACA